CCAGCAGCCGCGGUAAUUCCAGCUCCAAUAGUGUAUAUUAAAGUUGUUGCAGUUAAAAAGUUCGUAGUCGAAUAUCAUAUUAUGUACAUUGAUUCCAAUAUUGAAAAGGAUAUCAUGAUGUAUGUAAAAAUGUUAUAUUAUUUAAAGGAUAUUUUUCUUUUGAGUAAUAUUUUUUUUACCGUGAAUAAAAUACAGUGUUCAUGGCAGGUUGUUAAAGCUUUUAUAUAUCAGCACGGGAUAAUAGAAUAAAAUUUUAGGUUUUUAUUUUAUUGGAGUUUAAAAGCCAAAGUAAAGAUUAAUAGGAAUAGUUGGGGGCACUUGUAUUCCGUUGUUAGAGGUGAAAUUCUAGGAUCGACGGAAGACAAACAACUGCGAAAGCAUCUGCCAAGGAUGUUUUCAUUGAUCAAGAACGAAAGU
rnacentral:rRNA from 1 species